CCACCCUUUGUGAACGUACCUCUGUUGCUUUGGCGGCUCCGGCCGCCAAAGGACCUUCAAACUCCAGUCAGUAAACGCAGACGUCUGAUAAACAAGUUAAUAAACUAAAACUUUCAACAACGGAUCUCUUGGUUCUGGCAUCGAUGAAGAACGCAGCGAAAUGCGAUAAGUAAUGUGAAUUGCAGAAUUCAGUGAAUCAUCGAAUCUUUGAACGCACAUUGCGCCCCUUGGUAUUCCGGGGGGCAUGCCUGUUCGAGCGUCAUUACAACCCUCAAGCUCUGCUUGGAAUUGGGCACCGUCCUCACUGCGGACGCGCCUCAAAGACCUCGGCGGUGGCUGUUCAGCCCUCAAGCGUAGUAGAAUACACCUCGCUUUGGAGCGGUAGGCGUCGCCCGCCGGACGAACCUUCUGAACUUUCUCAAGGUGACC
rnacentral:rRNA from 1 species